GGGCCCGUAGCUCAGCGGCAGAGCGGGGGACUUUUAAUCCCAGGGCCGUGGGUUCGAAUCCCACCGGGCCCUCCA
rnacentral:tRNA from 2 species